UUUUUUUCUUUUUUGAAAAUUGAAGACAGUUUUUCAUAAGUCUCUGGUGUGCUUUGUUCUCUACAUUGACACUCUCGUUUCUCUCUGUAGCUUUGUAGAAUUUUCGUUCAAAUCCUGAAUUUGCAGAAGAAUCCAACCACGUUUCUCUCUUUCUCUUCAGGUUUCUCAGGAAACUUGGAGUGUGGAGAAUUGAUGUGUAUUUGCAAUCUUAAAUCAAACGAUGUUGGGACGAACCCCUGAAAAAUCUCUGUAGGAGAGCAGGUGCGCAUUACCGCCAUUCAUGCAAUCGAAAAUGACGUUGUCGCAGGUUCUCUCUGUAGCUUAAGGCUAAUUUCACACAGGUCAAGGAUAAAACUGUUGAGCCAAUAGGUGAUACUGAAGGUUCUAUUUGGUUGGGAUCUCCUUUCUCCUUUUCCCCUUCAGAGAGCUCUGAAAGGUCAUCAGCAGCAUCAUGGCGACCUUGCUCCCGCUCAAGACGCCGCUUU